AAGGUGGAUUUGUAAGUAAUUAUUUUAUAUAAUUAAUAAAUGAAGGGUGGAAUAACAUGUGUACAUAUUGCCCGUCGCUCUCGCUAUAUUGAGAUAAGUCGUAACAUAGUUGAUGAACUGGAAAGUGUAUCUUUUUGA
rnacentral:rRNA from 1 species